AGAGCGAACGCUGGCGGCAGGCCUAACACAUGCAAGUCGAGCGCCCGUAGCAAUACGGGAGCGGCAGACGGGAGAGUAACACGUGGGAACGCGCCCUUCGGUUCGGAAUAACUCAGGGAAACUUGAGCUAAUACCGGAUACGCCCUUACGGGGAAAGAUUUAUUGCCGAAGGAACGGCCCGCGUCCGAUUAGCUUGUUGGUGAGGUAAUGGCUCACCAAGGCGACGAUCGGUAGCUGGUCUGAGAGGAUGACCAGCCUCACUGGGACUGAGACACGGCCCAGACUCCUACGGGAGGCAGCAGUGGGGAAUAUGGACAAUGGGCGCAAGCCUGAUCCAGCCAUGCCGCGUGGAUGAUGAAGGCCCUAGGGUUGUAAAGUCCUUUUAACGGGGAAGAUAAUGACGGUACCCGUAGAAUAAGCCCCGGCUAACUUCGUGCCAGCAGCCGC
rnacentral:rRNA from 1 species